AAUGAAAGGGAGGGAAGAGGAAGUGGGGAGGGCAGAGAAGGAAGCUGAAAGGAGGGGGAAUGAAAAAGACACUGAAGAUCUGCUUACAAAAUCAUCUAUCUAAAUGUGCCUCAUUAACCUGUAUUUAACUGUGCUGAGUACCUGGGGAUCCCUGAUGUUUCUGGAAUUGAUUAUCUCCCUCCAGACAAGGACAGUACCCUCAGAGAGGGGAAGUGACUGACCCAAGAUCACACAGCAAGUCUCUGACCCAAGUUUCCUGGAUUUUCCUCUCUGCUCUUCCACUGCCUCCAGACUCCAGACCAGCAGGACCCUUGAGAGUAAAGCAACUUAAUCCUUUCCCUCUAUAAAUAUCCCUUGUUGGUGUUAGACCAGCUCAUUUAGGUUUCUCCGUGAUUAGGAGUCCUAAUGCUAUUUGCCUGCCUGCAAUGUCCACUCAUAGUUAGUUAUUAUUUCAGUGUAUUAUACCAAAUAACCUCCUGAGAUGCACAAAGACAAGGUAAUACCUCACAUUUGGCAUUGAGGACACAUCCAGUUUCAGUGUGGUCACCUGCCCUUUUCUGGACUUUGUAGUUUUGAAAAUAAGUCAGAAAUGUAAGAAAUCUUUAGGAAACCUCGCAGUAAUGGUGACUUACAGAAUGCUUUCCUCUAAGAUCACAAAUAAAAUAAGGAUGCCUGAUAUCACUACUUCUACUCAAAAUUGUAAUGAAGUGCCUGGGUACUGUA